GGGCUUUGCGUUUUUUUUUUUUGCCGUGUUAUACGAUUGGGCCAUAAAGCCCAUCAACUUUGAGAGACAGAUAUCUGAAACCUCGCCGACCCGACCUCUCCUUUCUCAUUUCUUCAAACCCUAAUUUUCUAGAUCGCUACCUCUCCAUCUUCUCCUCUUUAAUGAUACCUUUAAUAACUCAAACGUUUCAAAACCUCUACCACUGUCGUUGCUAUACAUAUUGGAUCGUCAAGUCAGGAAUGGAACAUCUCAAAUCUCAUUUCCUCAACUGCUGUUUCUUCUCAAUCAGCCGUUCUUCAUGCCACCUUCGACGAUCUCCGCCUUGAGGUUGAAGCUUCUCUCCAGUGAGGAGAAGGACCCACACUCUGUCACCACCAAGCGGUUAUGGGAGGAGGAAUCAAAGUCAAGCCCAAAAUGAAGUAGAUAUUGAGGUCGUAGAAGGAACUUCCUGGCAAGCGUUUUGAUUUGCAAUCUACGGCAUGAUUGCAGGUUUAUAUUUGACGUAUAUUUAAUUCCCUUCAGCCAUUUUCUCUAAGCAUAGUGAAGCAUGAGGUUCUUUUAUAUAGAAACAAUUUUAGAUAAUUAAUGUAUGUCCCAGACUCCUCUCGAUAUGUUUGGUCAGAUGAGUGUUUGCUUUAUGAUAAAUUUAAGGGAAAGAUAUGAGAUGAAUUUUUUUUGGUCAUCUAAAUUGUUAAAGUUUGAACGGGUGA